GACUGUAGACACACCACCGUGGUCGUGCCCACCCUCAUCUGAUCUCCAAAGCUAAGCAGGGUCGGUGGUGAGUACUUGGACUGAGGACCACCCAGGAAUACCUGGUUCACUGGCU
rnacentral:rRNA from 1 species